rnacentral:lncRNA from 10 species
UCUCAGAAGGAAUCAUUUUCUUUCCACCUACAAUGUUAGAUCCACCUGAAUGAAAUACGCCUUUCAUUGCGUCCUGAGAAGACGGAAGAAUCAUAAAAAGCCUUCAGAAGCCCUUGAGGAAUUUUGAGGGCAGUAAAAGCAAAGACUGUAAACCGAAGAAAAAUACACAAAGAUGUAAGAGCAGUAAGAGCAAAGUGGGGACAAGGGAUAUUGAGUAUCUGAAGGGAAAAAUAAGAAGCAUAGCCUAUCCUGGAAAAGAAAAGAAACGUCAUGGUAAAAAAACAACUGCGGUUUUUGUGAACACCUACUACGGGGCUUGGGAGGGCAAGAGUAGGUGUCAUAAGUAGCUUUGACCUUGAGAAGUCUGGAGGUCACUUUAUAUGCUGCCAAAGCACCACUGUCUACUAAGUUUUUGAGGAAACCAUAUUGCUAGAGAAACUGCAAGCCUGAGCAGCCUCCAAUUGUUGAAGACUUACAUCCAUCUUGGACCUCCAAACAUUCAUAAGCAGGAAGCAGGCCUCAAAAACUAUGGCCCCCAAAUGAGGGCUUGUUCCCCAACCCCCACUUUAGACAUGGAGAAGAAGAAUAAUGGACAAGGAGGCUCCUCCCAGAAGGAUCCAAGGACCCCUGAGGUUGGUGGACAAUGGACUUCCAGCACAGAUUGGAAUCAGAACACAAUCAAGGACACUGUCUCUCCAAUAGAAACUCUUCCUAUGUCUGCCCAGAGUAAUUCCUUAACUGUGAUGGACAAAGAGCUGUGGCAUCAUUGCUUUCCAUUUUUUGAAUGAAAGUUAUGGUGCAGUAAUCCUUUCCCUGCUCCAGCAGGUGAGGGGGUGGCAGAGAGGGGCCAAUAAUUUGUCAUUUUGUUCCUAGAUUGCCAGACCAAGAGGAGCUAUGUCUUGGUCUGCAAAAAAGAACCAGACAUUGCCACAAAUCCUGGGCUUGAGCUGAAUGCAGGGACUGGUGGGUUUCUCUGUUGUGUCCCUUGGAGAGGGAGUGAAGACUUCUUAUGCAGUGCCUCUCAACAUAUUCUAACCUUCCUGCCUGCUAGGCUUGCCAUGUGUUGUGUUCCAGACAGUAAAAUUUAAGCAGAAGUUCUGACUUUCUUACUGCUGGGCUAAGGUAGUUACGUACUAGUGUACUAGUGUGUCUCCCCACAAUGAACCUCCCACCUUCUUCCCACAAAGCCCAAGGGAUAAAAUUCAGGGCAAAUUAGAAUCCAAAAGAAGGAGCCACAAAGUGGAAGAAACCUGGAUGCCUGAGUCACUAUGUGGGGAAAACACCAACUAAAAAGCUUUAUGUGAUCCACAUUUGAUAUGAGUGAGAAAUAAAUUUUUGAUUGUUUUAGGCCAUUGAUAUUUUGAGAUUGCAACAACAGCUAGUAUAAGUUAGCCCAAUGCUUUAGGAAAACGUCUAUUUGUUUAUCUAAUCUAUGAAGAUCACUGACUCAUUACUCUGUUUUGUUUUCUUAAUGAACACAAUAUACCAUGUGGGUAAGAGAUAAGGGGAAGGGGUGGAGGGGGGAUUUGGAGCCAGAAGACAAGAAGUUCUCUCUUUGCCUAUUCAUGCGUAUUUAGUAAAUUAACAUUUCCAUGCUGGGUCAUGAUUAUUUUCCCUGACCCUGCCCAGAAGAAAGCAAUCUCCAACUGUAUACUCACUGGCAUUUUGCUUUCAGGGAUACCGUUUUGUAAUUGGGCUCGGUUCAGUCCUCAUGGUCUGAAGAGAAAAUGAUAUACCAUGCUUUAAUAAGAGAUGUUCUGUCUUUAGUGCAAGACCCAGCCCACUGUUUGUAAUAAACUCUGAAGUCUGUGCUUGACAAGUACUACUUACAUACAGAGCAUGUCGUGAAGUAUAACAGAGAAGAUGAAGCCUGGUAAAAUGACACAGUUUGCUUCUCUCUUCAACAAAGGAAACUCUGAUUCUGGUUUUAGAAGGGACCGGCACCUUCUCCUUUCCCUGCCAGAUUUUCCUUCUACCAAGACUGGGGUCCAACUGUGAGCCCUGUGCUUCAGGUCAGGAGAAAUUCAGUAUGUGAAAGCAUUUUGCAAUCCGUAAAGCUUAAAUAUGCAUGCACGUUGUGAGGCAAUAUGGUAUAAAGGAAAGCAGAGGUUUAGACGUCAGUCCCACUCAUUUUAAAUCCUGGGUCCACUGCCCUCUAGCUAGGUAAUUCUUGGAAUGUUUCUCAACUUCUCUGAUCUUCAGUUCCCUCCACUAUAAAAUAAGAUCUAUAAGACCUACUACUUAGGGUGGGAAUAAAAUCAAUAACAUGUGAAUACCUAGCUCAGUGUCUGGUACAUGUUGGUGCUCAAUAAAUGUGUAAUUCCUUCCUUUCCCUUUCCUACCCACAUGCUGUCCUCAGGGUAGAACACAUAGAUGAUUCUUUCUCGUGCCCUGCCUGCCUCAGUACAUUUCUGGAUGUACGGAUUGAGACUUCCUGACUUACGAUUGCAUAAACUCCACAGCAAGUAUCUUUGGCUGUGUUAGUGCAAAUCCCUUGAAUAAUGUCCCAGUUCUCCUCUACGGCAGACUCCGUUGGAUUAAGAAAGAAGGCAACAGAAUGGAAAGAGCAUUCAACUUGGUGUCAAGUCCUGGGUACAGAUCUCUUUUCCAGCCUGUGCACUGUUGGUUAAAUUAGAAAUCUCUCUAAACCCCAAUUUACUCAUAUGGAAAAUGUCAGUUAUAGCUUCCAUAAAAGAACUUCAUGACAUAAAAAAACCUAGCACAAAUAUAAGGUAUUUCAGUAUACUUCCAGUAUAUCUUUGCUUACUCUUAUUGUCCUAUGUGUUAAUCCUACUAAAAAGCCUUGUGUCCCAUGUGUCUUCUCCCACACCUACUGAGUUUGUAAGGCAAGGUAGGUGCUUUGGGCAGGCAUCCAUCCAUGGCAUCACUUCAUCUAUCUUUGCUCAUGUUCAAGAAUGGUUUGGUUUCUUUCAUGCGCGUCCGUGUGAAGAGACCACCAAACAGGCUUUGUGUGAGCAACAUGGCUGUUUAUUUCACCUGGGUGCAGGCGGGCUGAGUCCGAAAAGAGAGUCAGCGAAGGGAGAUGGGGCGGGGCCAUUUUAUAGGAUUUGGGAAGGUAAUGGAAAAUUACAGUCAAAGGGCGUUGUUCUCUGGU